rnacentral:rRNA from 1 species
CUGAGUACGGCGGAACACGUGAAAUUCCGUCGGAAUCCGGGAGGACCAUCUCCCAAGGCUAAAUACUCCCUAGUGACCGAUAGUGAACCAGUACCGUGAGGGAAAGGUGAAAAGCACCCCGGAAGGGGAGUGAAACAGUUCCUGAAACCGUGUGCCUACAAGUAGUUAGAGCCCGUUAAUGGGUGAUAGCGUGCCUUUUGUAGAAUGAACCGGCGAGUUACGAUUUGUUGCAAGGUUAAGCGGAAAAAGCGGAGCCGUAGCGAAAGCGAGUCUGAAUAGGGCGCAUAAGUAACAGGUCGUAGACCCGAAACCAGGUGAUCUACCCAUGUCCAGGAUGAAGGUAAGGUAAUACUUACUGGAGGUCCGAACCCACGCACGUUGAAAAGUGCGGGGAUGAGGUGUGGGUAGCGGAGAAAUUCCAAUCGAACUUGGAGAUAGCUGGUUCUCUCCGAAAUAGCUUUAGGGCUAGCCUCGAGGUAAAGAGUCAUGGAGGUAGAGCACUGUUUGGACUAGGGGCCCUUCUCGGGUUACCGAAUUCAGAUAAACUCCGAAUGCCAUGUACUUAUACUCGGGAGUCAGACUGCGAGUGAUAAGAUCCGUAGUCGAAAGGGAAACAGCCCAGACCACCAGUUAAGGUCCCCAAAUAUAUGUUAAGUGGAAAAGGAUGUGGGGUUGCUUAGACAACCAGGAUGUUGGCUUAGAAGCAGCCACCAUUGAAAGAGUGCGUAAUAGCUCACUGGUCGAGUGACCCCGCGCCGAAAAUGUACCGGGGCUAAACAUAUUACCGAAACUGUGGAUGAACCUCUUUAGAGGUUCGUGGUAGGAGAGCGUUCUAAGGGCGGUGAAGUCAGACCGGAAGGACUGGUGGAGCGCUUAGAAGUGAGAAUGCCGGUAUGAGUAGCGAAAGAAGGGUGAGAAUCCCUUCCACCGAAUAUCUAAGGUUUCCUGAGGAAGGCUCGUCCGCUCAGGGUUAGUCGGGACCUAAGCCGAGGCCGAUAGGCGUAGGCGAUGGACAACAGGUAGAGAUUCCUGUACCAGUGCUAAUUGUUUAACCGAUGGGGUGACACAGAAGGAUAGGGAAUCGCACGAAUGGAAAUGUGCGUCCAAGCAGUGAGUGUGAGAAGUAGGCAAAUCCGCUUCUCGCGAAGCAUGAGCUGUGAUGGGGAAGGAAAUUAAGUACGGAAGUUCCUGAUUUCACGCUGUCAAGAAAAGCCUCUAGGAAGAGUAGUACUGCCCGUACCGCAAACCGACACAGGUAGAUGAGGAGAGAAUCCUAAGGUGAGCGAGAGAACUCUCGUUAAGGAACUCGGCAAAAUGACCCCGUAACUUCGGGAGAAGGGGUGCUCUAUUAGGGUGCAAGCCCGAGAGAGCCGCAGUGAAUAGGCCCAGGCGACUGUUUAGCAAAAACACAGGUCUCUGCAAAACCGUAAGGUGACGUAUAGGGGCUGACGCCUGCCCGGUGCUGGAAGGUUAAGAGGAGUGCUUAGCUUCGGCGAAGGUACGAAUUGAAGCCCCAGUAAACGGCGGCCGUAACUAUAACGGUCCUAAGGUAGCGAAAUUCCUUGUCGGGUAAGUUCCGACCCGCACGAAAGGCGCAACGAUCUGGGCACUGUCUCAACGAGAGACUCGGUGAAAUUAUAGUACCUGUGAAGAUGCAGGUUACCCGCGACAGGACGGAAAGACCCCGUGGAGCUUUACUGCAACCUGAUAUGGAAUGUUUGUACCGCUUGUACAGGAUAGGUAGGAGCCGAAGAGACGUGUGCGCUAGCAUACGAGGAGGCAAUGGUGGGAUACUACCCUGGCUGUAUGACCAUUCUAACCCGCCACGCUUAGCGCGUGGGGAGACAGUGUCAGGUGGGCAGUUUGACUGGGGCGGUCGCCUCCUAAAGAGUAACGGAGGCGCCCAAAGGUUCCCUCAGAAUGGAUGGAAAUCAUUCGCAGAGUGUAAAGGCACAAGGGAGCUUGACUGCGAGACUGACAAGUCGAGCAGGGACGAAAGUCGGGCUUAGUGAUCCGGUGGUUCCGCAUGGAAGGGCCAUCGCUCAACGGAUAAAAGCUACCCCGGGGAUAACAGGCUUAUCUCCCCCAAGAGUCCACAUCGACGGGGAGGUUUGGCACCUCGAUGUCGGCUCGUCGCAUCCUGGGGCUGUAGUCGGUCCCAAGGGUUGGGCUGUUCGCCCAUUAAAGCGGCACGCGAGCUGGGUUCAGAACGUCGUGAGACAGUUCGGUCCCUAUCCGUCGCGGGCGCAGGAAAUUUGAGAGGAGCUGUCCUUAGUACGAGAGGACCGGGAUGGACACACCGCUGGUGUACCAGUUGUUCCGCCAGGAGCAUCGCUGGGUAGCUAUGUGUGGCAGGGAUAAACGCUGAAAGCAUCUAAGCGUGAAGCCCCCCUCAAGAUGAGAUUUCCCAUUUCUUCGGAAAGUAAGAUCCCUGAAAGAUGAUCAGGUAGAUAGGUUUGGAGUGG